rnacentral:rRNA from 1 species
UACGGAGGAUGCGAGCGUUAUCCGGAUUUAUUGGGUUUAAAGGGUGCGUAGGCGGCAUUAUAAGUUAGUGGUAAAAUAUUGGGGCUUCACCUCACUACGCCAUUAAUACUGUAGAGCUAGAGAACAGACGAGGUAGGCGGAAUAAGUUAAGUAGCGGUGAAAUGCAUAGAUAUUACACAGAACACCGAUUGCGAAGGCAGCUUGCUAGGCCGGAUCUGACACUGAUGCACGAAAGCGUGGGUAUCGAACAGG